AACUGCUGCCUUGAUUCCCACCAUGAUGAUAAUGGACUGAACCUCUGAAACUGUAAGCCAUCCCUAAUUAAUACUGUCCUUUGUAAGAGUUGCCUUGGUCACAGUGUCUCUUCACAGCAAUGCAACCCAAACUAAGACACUGAUACAUUAUUUUUAAAAUGUUUACAAUAGGAAGUGAUUUUGUAAAUUGAAAAAAAUCAUUAAAAUUAUAUAAACUGUUUAAUGGAAGGUUAUUAAGUAAGCAAAAUUAAGUUAUAGUCUUCAUAACACAAAGGAAACACAUGGUAUAAGUGUACAUUAACUUUUGCUGUUUGUUGCCAUCCUGCCCUGCUUGGGUCCCCUCACAGCAAGAGAAUGAAGAAAGGACAGAUAGACAAACAGGCACACAUACAGGAAAGCUGGGAUCUGGUGGGGUUCUCUAGAACUGCCCUGGAACCUCAGUUUGUUUAUCAGUUACAGCACAGGGUGGUAGUAGGAUUUAAGCUGGUCUCAGCAGGAAGUCUUUGUAGGUGAGCUAUACCAGGAGGAAGAAGGCACAGUUGCUAGUUCUUGCACACAUAGAUUACUCAUCCACAAACACUCAUACUUUGACUCAAGAAAAGCUUUGUCAUCUCUUUUGACCCUAGCCCAUAUGGGUAAAGAGUCUGCCAGUUUCUUACGGGCUGUCUGUUCUUGAUUCCUCCAUAGGCUCUGCCCAUGUCAUAAUACCCAUCCACUCAGGAUUUACUCACUUAGGGCUUCCUCUGCUCCCAAGUUAGUGAAUAUGUAAGAGAAAGGAUGAAUUGGAUUUUAAGAGUUAAUUUAACACCAUCUAUUAAAGUAUCAUUUAAUCCAGGAUUUUCUUUUUAGUAGUCUAUCCUAGAGAAAUUGUUAUUCAUAUACUCAGAAGAGUAUGGUUCAAGGAUGGUCCCUAAAUCAUUGUAAUAGAACAAAAAUAUAAAAAUGUCCUAAGCCUCAGUUGAGGAAUAUAUAAUCAAUUACAGCAUAGCCAUGCAAUCAAUCAUGCAGAAUAGAUGGACAGAAAUAGAAGGAAUCCUGAGACAUUUUCAAGAGGAAAGAAAACCCACCAAAUUUAUAAAGUAGUAUGUAUCUCCCACAUACUUAAAAAAAGGCCCCAUAGAGCCAGUAGGAUGGCUUAAGAGGGUAAAGGUUCCAAUUCUGCCAAGCCCGAUUCCCUCAAUUUGAUACCUAAGACCCAACUCAACUCUGGCAACUUGUUUUUCUGACAAUAGCAUUUGUAUGCUACCCCAACUCCAAAUGAAUAAAUGAAUGAAAAUAUCCUUCUAUAUAGCAUUCUCAUAAAACAAAACAAUAUACUAUGUAUAUAAAAUAAGGCCACUGGGGUUGGAGAGAUGGUUCAGUGGUUAAGUGCAAUGGCUACUUUUUCAGAGGACCCAGGUUCAAUUUCUAGCACUCACAUGAUAGCUCACAACUCUCUGUAAUUUUAGUCCCAGGGGACCUGACACUGUCUUAUGGCUUCUGAGUGCACCAAGCAUACAUGUAGUAUACAUAUAUACUUGCAAACAAAACUCUUACAUACAUAGAUAAAUGAAUAAAAUUUAAAAUAAGAAUACAGAUAGAUAAGUUCUCUAUGGGAAGUGCAUGAAAUGCUGGGUGGAUAAGCAGUGAUGGUUAACCCCCAGGACAGGGUUUCUCUGUGUAGUCAUGGCUGUCUUGGAAAUCACUCUGUAGACCACACUGGCCUCGAAUUCACAGAGAUCUAUUUGCCUUCCUCUGCCUCCCUAUUGCUGAGAUUAAAGGUGUGUGUUACUGCCACAUGGCAUAAACAGUGAUUUUUGAUUAUUUUUUACUCUAAAUAUAUUAAUAGAACUAGAAUAUUUUGAGCAUUUGUUCAUAGACUCAGAAGAAGACUAAGGAGAUGGG
rnacentral:lncRNA from 1 species